rnacentral:rRNA from 1 species
AUACCCUGGUAGUCCACGCCGUAAACGUUGGGCGCUAGGUGUGGGGGUNNUUCCACGACCUCCGUGCCGCAGCUAACGCAUUAAGCGCCCCGCCUGGGGAGUACGGCCGCAAGGCUAAAACUCAAAGGAAUUGACGGGGGCCCGCACAAGCGGCGGAGCAUGCGGAUUAAUUCGAUGCAACGCGAAGAACCUUACCAAGGCUUGACAUGCACGGGAAAGUUCCAGAGAUGGUUCCCCCGCAAGGUCCGUGCACAGGUGGUGCAUGGUUGUCGUCAGCUCGUGUCGUGAGAUGUUGGGUUAAGUCCCGCAACGAGCGCAACCCUUGUCUUAUGUUGCCAGCGGGUUAUGCCGGGGACUCAUAAGAGACUGCCGGGGUCAACUCGGAGGAAGGUGGGGAUGACGUCAAAUCAUCAUGCCCCUUAUGUCUUGGGCUUCACGCAUGCUACAAUGGCCGGUACAAAGGGCUGCGAAACCGCGAGGUGGAGCGAAUCCCAAAAAGCCGGUCUCAGUUCGGAUUGGGGUCUGCAACUCGACCCCAUGAAGUCGGAGUCGCUAGUAAUCGCAGAUCAGCAACGCUGCG